UACGUAGGGGGCAAGCGUUAUCCGGAUUCAUUGGGUUUAAAGGGUGCGUAGGUGGGGCGGUAAGUCAGUGGUGAAAUCCUGCAGCUUAACUGUAGAAUCGCCAUUGAUACUGUCGCUCUUGAGUACGCUUGACGUGGGCGGAAUGUGCCGUGUAGCGGUGAAAUGCUUAGAUAUGGCACAGAACACCGAUAGUGAAGACAGCUCACGAAGGCGAAACUGACACUGAGGCACGAAAGCGUGGGGAUCGAACAGG
rnacentral:rRNA from 1 species